rnacentral:rRNA from 1 species
AGUGAACGCUGGCGGUAGGCCUAACACAUGCAAGUCGAACGGCAGCACAGUAAGAGCUUGCUCUUACGGGUGGCGAGUGGCGGACGGGUGAGGAAUACAUCGGAAUCUACUUUUUCGUGGGGGAUAACGUAGGGAAACUUACGCUAAUACCGCAUACGACCUACGGGUCAAAGCAGGGGAUCUUCGGACCUUGCGCGAUUGAAUGAGCCGAUGUCGGAUUAGCUAGUUGGCGGGGUAAAGGCCCACCAAGGCGACGAUCCGUAGCUGGUCUGAGAGGAUGAUCAGCCACACUGGAACUGAGACACGGUCCAGACUCCUACGGGAGGCAGCAGUGGGGAAUAUUGGACAAUGGGCGCAAGCCUGAUCCAGCCGUACCGCGUGGGUGAAGAAGGCCUUCGGGUUGUAAAGCCCUUUUGUUGGGAAAGAAAAGCAGCAGGUUAAUACCCCGCUGUUCUGACGGUACCCAAAGAAUAAGCACCGGCUAACUUCGUG